rnacentral:rRNA from 1 species
AUUGAACGCUGGCGGCAUGCUUUACACAUGCAAGUCGAACGGCAGCGCGGGCUUCGGCCUGGCGGCGAGUUGCGAACGGGUGCGUAAUGCAUCUGAACGUGCCCAGUAGUUGGGGAUAGCCCGGCGAAAGCCGGUUUAAUACCUCAUACUACCUGAGGGUGACAGCUGGGGACCGACAGGCCUCGCGCUAUUUCAUCGGCCGAUGUCGUAUUAGCUAGUUGGUGGGGUAAAGGCUUACCAAGGCGACUAUCCGUAGCUGGUCUGAGAGGACGACCAGCCACACUGGGACUGAGACACGGCCCAGACUCCUACGGGAGGCAGCAGUGGGGAAUUUUGGACAAUGGGGGCAACCCUGAUCCAGCCAUGCCGCGUGCGGGAAGAAGGCCUUCGGGUUGUAAACCGCUUUUGUUCGGGAAGAAAUCCUCUGGGCUAAUACCCCGGGGGGAUGACGGUACCGGAAGAAUAAGCACCGGCUAACUACGUG